rnacentral:rRNA from 1 species
AGAGUUUGAUCAUGGCUCAGGACGAACGCUGGCGGCGCACCUAAUGCAUGCAAGUCGAGCGACGCAUAUCGGAGGAGUAAUCCACUGAUAUGACGGAGCGGCGAACGGGUGAGUAUCACGUGAGAAACCUGCCCCGAAGACCGGGAUAGCCCGGGGAAACCCGGAUUAAUACCGGAUACCCUCUACAGAUCGCAUGGUCUGUUGAGGAAAGGCCUUUGCGCUUCGGGAUGGUCUCGCGACCUAUCAGCUAGUUGGUGAGGUAACGGCUCACCAAGGCAACGACGGGUAGCUGGUCUGAGAGGACGAUCAGCCACACUGGGACUGAGACACGGCCCAGACUCCUACGGGAGGCAGCAGCAGGGAAUCUUGUCCAAUGGGCGCAAGCCUGAGACAGCGACGCCGCGUGGGGGAUGAAGGCCUUCGGGUUGUAAACCCCUUUCAGGAGGGACGAAAUUGACGGUACCUCCAGAAGAAGCCCCGGCCAACUACGUGCCAGCAGCCGCGGUAAUACGUAGGGGGCGAGCGUUGUCCGGAAUUAUUGGGCGUAAAGGGCUCGUAGGCGGCUUGGCAAGUCGGCCGUGAAAGCCCGGGGCUUAACCCCGGGAUGCCGGUCGAUACUGCCAUGGCUUGGGUCCGGUAGAGGAGAAUGGAAUUCCCGGUGUAGCGGUGAAAUGCGCAGAUAUCGGGAGGAACACCAGUAGCGAAGGC